GAGUUUGAUCGUGGCUCAGAUUGAACGCUGGCGGCAGGCCUAACACAUGCAAGUCGAGCGGAUGACGGGAGCUUGCUCCUUGAUUCAGCGGCGGACGGGUGAGUAAUGCCUAGGAAUCUGGCCUGGGUAGUGGGGGGACAACGUUUCGAAAGGAACGCUAAUACCGCAGUACGUCCUACGGGAGAAAGCAGGGGACCUUCGGGCCUUGCGCUAUCAGAUGAGCCUAGGUCGGAUUAGCUAGUUGGUGGGGUAAUGGCUCACCAAGGCGACGGAUCCGUAACUGGUCUGAGAGGAUGAUCAGUCACACUGGAACUGAGACACGGUCCAGACGUCCUACGGGAGGCAGCAGUGGGGAAUAUUGGACAAUGGGCGAAAGCCUGAUCCAGCCAUGCCGCGUGUGU
rnacentral:rRNA from 1 species